GCAGAAGGAAGAUAUAGAUAAUCGGUCUGCUUGCGAGGGAGGAAAGAGGCGCAACGCAUUCCUGGAUGUUUGGUGGAAAAUUUACAGCUAAGAAAUAAAAGUUUACGACUGAAUCGGAACUUGGAUUGGCUGUAGCUGGUCAUGUGACUUCCCUCCAUGAACAUGAACUUUAUACUGUUGUCUGCUGAUUACUAGCUUUUUCCAUCCGUACAGGACCUACCUGUCCAAAGCAACAGCAUUUUUGGGGUUCUAUACAGGAAUUUGUUUUAUUUUGCUGCUCAUCUUCACGUUUAUCCAUUCACGUUGCUACCCCUUCUCUCCCUCUCGUUUUAUGAUUCCGUCCGUCUCUCUCUGUCUCUUUCCCUUUCUCGCGCAUCAGAACUGGAAGUAGAGCUUGAGUAGCAUUUUCGUUUACUGAUUUUGGAUGGUGAUUCUUCAGAGCCGUCCUAUUAGAAUACCAACGAGAUAUUGGAUAUUAAGUUAAGGGUUCCUCGGUCUCCAUGGUUUCCCUCACGCCUUUGUAGCUGCUGGACCAGUGAAUCUGCGUCAGCGUAGCCGCAAGCAUAACAUUGGAUCCAAGGUUUCCCAAGCAGGAUAUUGUCCAAAUCAUCACACUGGCUCCGCUGGCCUGCCUUCUUCCCAUGAUGCAUCCUGGUGUCAUGUCUUCUCCAGGUGCCGAAGAGCAGCAGACAGUCCAGAGUAGUAGGCAGGAAUGCAAAAAUAAUUGGACAGGACGACUUUGAAAGGCCU